rnacentral:lncRNA from 1 species
GCUUAGCAGACCCAGAGGGCCCCGGAAGACACUGAGUGAUUUCCCUCUGUGGCGUCCGUGAGAGUCAGUGUCACUGCUGGGGCCCUCACCCUGGUAUACCAGGCAACCAGGAAGAAGGGAUGCCUGCUGCUGUCAGCCUGUGCCAGCAACACAGAGACCCAGGCCUUCAGCCCAAGUGGGGCUCUGUGCCUCCAUCGGAAACGUGAACCAGAUUUCCUUGUAAUGGGCUCCAUAUUUAGGCCCAGCAGCCUUAGAUGUCUGGCCAAUAGGAAAGCUAUGUCCUUCCUGCACAAUUUCAGCCCUAAGAAUCUGUGACUCUCCCUCCCUGGAGGCCUAGAGAACAAGAGGAGGGAGGGCUUGAAAUCAAUAAAUGGAUUGCACACCU